UAGGGAAUAUUGGACAAUGGGUGAGAGCCUGAUCCAGCCAUGCCGCGUGCAGGAAGAAGGCGUUAUGCGUUGUAAACUGCUUUUUGCCAGGGGAUAAAAAGACCGUGCGCGGUUAAUUGAAGGUACCUGGUGAAUAAGCCACGGCUAACUACGUGCCAGCAGCCGCAGUAAUACGUAGGUGGCAAGCGUUGUCCGGAUUUAUUGGGUUUAAAGGGUGCGUAGGUGGCCCUGUAAGUCAGUGGUGAAAUAUCUCAGCUUAACUGAGAGGGUGCCAUUGAUACUGCAGGGCUUGAGUACAGAUGAGGUAGGCGGAAUUGACGGUGUAGCGGUGAAAUGCAUAGAUAUCGUCAAGAACACCGAUAGCGAAGGCAGCUUACCAAGCUGUAACUGACACUGAGGCACGAAAGUGUGGGGAUCAAACAGGAUUAGAUACCCAGGUAGUCCCUGAGCGGGCUGGCAAGGCGCAU
rnacentral:rRNA from 1 species